AGUGAACGCUGGCGGUAGGCCUAACGCAUGCAAGUCGAACGGCAGCACAGUAAGAGCUUGCUCUUACGGGUGGCGAGUGGCGGACGGGUGAGGAAUACAUCGGAAUCUACUUUUUCGUGGGGGAUAACGUAGGGAAACUUACGCUAAUACCGCAUACGACCUACGGGUGAAAGCAGGGGAUCUUCGGACCUUGCGCGAUUGAAUGAGCCGAUGUCGGAUUAGCUAGUUGGCGGGGUAAAGGCCCACCAAGGCGACGAUCCGUAGCUGGUCUGAGAGGAUGAUCAGCCACACUGGAACUGAGACACGGUCCAGACUCCUACGGGAGGCAGCAGUGGGGAAUAUUGGACAAUUGGCGCAAGCCUGAUCCAGCCAUACCGCGUGGGUGAAGAAGGCCUUCGGGUUGUAAAGCCCUUUUGUUGGGAAAGAAAAGCAGCAGGUUAAUACCCCGCUGUUCUGACGGUACCCAAAGAAUAAGCACCGGCUAACUGCGU
rnacentral:rRNA from 1 species